CGCCUUAUACUCCUACGGGAGGCAGCAGUGGGGAAUUUUGGACAAUGGGGGCAACCCUGAUCCAGCAAUGCCGCGUGUGUGAAGAAGGUCUUCGGAUUGUAAAGCACUUUAAGUUGGGAGGAAGGGCAGUAAGUUAAUACCUUGCUGUUUUGACGUUACCGACAGAAUAAGCACCGGCUAACUCUGUGCCAGCAGCCGCGGUAAUACAGAGGGUGCAAGCGUUAAUCGGAAUUACUGGGCGUAAAGCGCGCGUAGGUGGUUUGUUAAGCUGGAUGUGAAAGCCCCGGGCUCAACCUGGGAACUGCAUCCAAAACUGGCAAGCUAGAGUACGGUAGAGGGUGGUGGAAUUUCCUGUGUAGCGGUGAAAUGCGUAGAUAUAGGAAGGAACACCAGUGGCGAAGGCGACCACCUGGACUGAUACUGACACUGAGGUGCGAAAGCGUGGGGAGCAAACAGGAUUAGAAACCCUAGUAGUCCACGUACCA
rnacentral:rRNA from 1 species